AUGUCUUUUAUUACAAGUUACUUUCAAGACGACAAAUUUCUUAAGUUUGAAUUAUAAUUAUCAACUACCUAUACAAAAUUAAUUCUUUAAAUUAUUAGUGUAGUCUAUAAUUAUAAUGUAAAUAUAUAGUAUUGAUAGUUUUUGAACAUUUUAGGUUUUGAACUUAACCCUACUACAUCUUUCAUUAUAAGUUGCUUUCGACUCAGUAAAUUGUUCGAGUUUGAACCAGAUAAGUAUCAGUCACUUACAUAGAACUAAUUUUUCGAGCUACUAGUAUGCAUUGUAAUUACAACGUAAUAUUGGUUGCAUCUGAACAUUUUAUAUUUCUAAUUUAGUCCUACGUCCUUCGAUUGAAUUGUUAACAAAUUUCUGAAAUUUAAUGAAAAUACUAAAACCACUCGUUACGUUAAGUAUUUUUGUAAAAUAUUGAAUUUCUGUUCAGAGACAGAAAAAUUGCAGUGGCAGGGUUUCAAAUCGAUUGGCGCGCAGAAAGUUCCACGCGGAAGCGUAUACGAUAUAUGUAUAUAUUAUCAAUGCGUUCGAUAAUUUGCGAAACGCAUCAUGUAUACGUAUUUCCAAGAUAACUAUUCCCGUUAGUUCGAUUCUCAUGUAGCAUAUGUUCCCCGACGUAUAAGUUAACAUAUAGCGGUUCCAUAAUCACGAUUGGACGAUUCGAUUUGCCGCGCUUCGAAUUUAACCGGGAAACUAGAUGUGCCCCUUUGAAAUUUCCAAAAACUCUCCGUAAACAGCAACUUGGUAACAUUACCUCGGUUAUAUUACCCUCACCGACGACCACCACACGCAGAGCGGUAUCGCAUCCCCCUUUCGUUUCACCGUUUCCGUCCAUCCCCACUGUCGUGGAAACUUUUACCCCUUCCCUUCCCCCACCAUUCCCCUGACAUAGGGCCGGCCCAUCAACGUCGCGGUGCUAUUCAUGCCGCGCAUCUCGGCUCACGCAGUUGCUGCGUUGCCAUGUCUCCUCCGACGAACCUGAACUUUCUUGUCCAGCUGGUGACUCUCGAAGUCUCGAACAUGUCUUUUGCAAAAUUCUUCCCAAAAUUAAAACAUAAUCUUACAUAAAUGCACAUUAUAACAUACAAUCACCUUAAUUAUCAAAUUAUCAUAAUUUUUUGUAAAAGAGAACCAAAUUGGGAUUUAAGUUUCCCUCUUCGUUUGAAUAUAUAUUUGCAUGUUUUAAUAUUGUAAACAUGUGACACAAGCUUGUAAGGUGGUUUUGCGGACGUAAACGGGAAAUGAAUGCGAACCAAGUGGAAAGCAAACAUUCUGUUUUGCCAGGCUGUGCAGUUAUCUCUUUCCAAGAGCAAAACACGGGGCACGUGUUUGAACUUGUUCGCCUCACGAACUGGCAACGUUGUACUUCGUUCAAAAUAGCACUCCCAGCUGGCGGCUUUCGCUUAACAUCCGAUAGGCUAUAGUUUGAUGAGAACUGUUUUUGACUUUAUCGCUAAAGUAGAACCGUUUUCGUUCAUAUUUUGUUUUCCGAUUUCGUUCGCCAAAAACCACGGUUAACAAUUUCUAUGAUUCGCUAAGCGAUCGGAGAUACGGUCGAUAUGUGUCAUCGAUUGCAUCAUCUCUUCGAAAAGAUGGCUGUUCUUUUCUGCUUGGAAACAGUUAUGCGGAAACACGGCAAUCAGCAAUUAAGCUAUUUCUUUCGAAUUUAUUAUUAAUAUUAGAUUUUCUAUGUGAUUAGGACUGUUAAUUUUCCAAAGAUAUAACUAUUGCAAUAUCUUUAUUGUUGAAGCUUGAUUACUGAUUGUACUGUUAAAUUAAUAAAUGUAAUAGUUUUAAAAGUAAAUGAAGUUUGGAACUACCAGAACAGUUGUCGCGCUACCAUCUACCGACAAUUGGCAGAAUUACUGAAAGAUCAGAUAAUAGAAAAUAAUUCAAAAAUAAACGCGUAACUAAAUAAAUAAAGCUGCUUUUCGCAAAGCACUGAAGUCUAUUUAAUAUCUGUUUGCAAAAACAGUAUAUAUUGCAAUUGUUGAACAAAAUUUUGCUAUAUGAAAAUUUUCAAAUGGUUCUAUUAUACCGAUGCAUAUUUUAAUUCAAUGCAAUACACUUUGCAAGCAGAAAAUUGCAUUGUCUUACACAUACACACACACACACACACACACACACACA